AGUAAAAGCCUUUGGAGAAUGAAAGCCAGAUCUCUUGUGGAGGGAAACCAAGCUUUUCCUGGGAUGAGUGAUCAAAAAAUGGAAGGACUCCGAGUCCUAGCUUCUUUUGCUUUGCUGGCCAGAAACCAAAUAUUUCUAAAGAGGCAGGCUUGGCAUUAUCUACUUUCAUAGGACCACCUGGAUACAGUCAAGGUGAAGAUGAGAGGAAAGGAGGUUAAGACACAGAGGGAUGACCGUGUGCAGACAUCAGAGGAAGACAGCCAUCUACAAGCCACGGAGAGAGGCCUUUAGAAGACACCACCC